GGGUAGCCAUUCACAAGUCUUCUCUUACAAAAGCCUUGCAGGUGGUGAUCUCUCAUAGUUUUCACAAGUUGACACACAAUAUAUUGCUGUGCAGAUGGGACAAAUAAUCAUGGUGCUGCUGUGAGCUGAGGAACAGUCCACUACUUCUCAAGAUUGUGAAAGAGCUACACUGUACUAAUUCUAUGAUAUUACUCCCAAGUAUGGUUGAUAUAGCUGAACUUCUAUAAAUGCUAUAGUCAUGAGGCAUGUCAGGUAAGAUAGACAACACUUCUGGUUUCCACAUUCAUCUACCUUUGAAUACUUUUGCCCUGCAUGUAGACCACAGAAAUUUCAUGAUGUGAACAACCUUAGGGAAACAUAUGAAAGCCACUGAAGAAUGGUGUAAAUAGGAGAAAAGAGAGACAUAAAUAGGAUUAAAAUGUAGCAGACACCCUGAGAUAAAUUACUGCCUUGUACUUUAGUGUCAUUUUCAUUUUAAAGUAGUCCUUGUGAGGGAAAGCAAGAGUCAUUUUCAAUCUGGCACUUGAAUACUGAAUUAAUGGAGAAAUGGAAAACCUUGCUGUGGCUUCAGCAGAGAUCCAAAUAUUUUUUCCAGAGACCUUUUCUGCUCCACAUUUAAACAACAUUUGUCUUAGAGAUGCUUGAAUCUAUUUAAAGGUAAACUAAGAUCUCAUUUAGCCUUGUGAUAUUUUCAAGAUUCACCAAGAAGCCGUGACAGUAUGAAGAGAUCAAAAUUAUUAUACUCUAGUGAAAAACAGCUUUGGGAAAAAUGAACUGGUAAACUGACAUUAAAGCCAAUGCUUCAAUAAAAUAUACACCACUAGCACUUUGGCCUAUCUACCAUUCUUAAGGUGCUCCUGAUCUCUUAUUUGAAACUCAUGAGAAUGUUGAGGGAGGCUAUGGAAAUACUGAGGGAAUUAUCUGCAUUAAACUGGGAUCUGAUAAAUUAUCUGCAUUACACUGGGAUCUGGUAAAUAAAAGAAAUUACCUUUUCGGGUAAUUUAUGUCCAAGGUUGAAGAAGGCCUCUGAGAUUAUUUAACUCAACUGUUCACCUACCAUCACCAUUUCCCCACUAAACCAUGACUCUUUGUUCAACGUCUAAACAUUUCUUGAACACCUCCAGGGAUGAUGACUCCACUACCUCCCUGGGCAGCCCAUUCCAGCACCUGACCACUCUUUAGAUGACAUUUUUCUUAAUAUCCAAUCUGAAUCUUCCCCGGUGCAACUUGAGGUUGUUCUCUUUAGUUGUAUUGCUACUUAUGUGGGAGAAGAGGCCAACCCCACCUCAUCACAACCUCCUUUCAAGCAGUUGUAAAGAGCAAUAAGGUCUUCCUUGAGCCUCCUCUUCUCCAGUCCAAACAAUCCCAGUUCCCUCAUAAAGUUCAUGAAAGAAUUUGGUAAAUUCAUGGCCAAAUAUCCAUAAACAGAAACUAAAGCAGGAUACUCACACAUAUACCUUCUAGCAUCACCCGCUGAAUUAUUUUGAGUUCUGGGAGACCACCAGUGGAAAUGGUAGGGUUUGCAUAUUCUUCCUAAGUAAUUUUACCUGUGCCAGACAGAAUACUAGGCUAGAUAGGCCAUCCAUCUGAUGCAGUUGGUGUUUCUUACAUUUGUACUCACAUGUAUAUAUGUGCUCUGACACAACUGAAGUGUACCUACAGCGUAUUCUGUUGCAAGGUACAGACAUAUGUGGGUUUUUUUGUUUUGUUUUGUUUUGUUUUUUGUCGUUGUUUUUUUCUAUCAGGUACAUUAUUGAUCUAGAUAAAAAUAUGUUUUUAAGAGAGCUCUGUAUAUAAGUUAAGGAGCGGAAUUAAUGCGCUGACAUUUUACAAAGUGCCAAUACAAGCUGUUGGACUUAACCUGCUGUCUAGGUUAGUCUAAUUUGGCUUGGCUUUAAAGAGGCUGACUAUUCAGAAUAAUCUGGGUUAAGUUGAUUUUUGCACUAAGCAAACUAAAUCCAAACUGCAAAUCAAUCUUUACUUUGUAUAUACAGAGAGUACGCUAUCUGUUCCAAUGUUUGUUACAUGCUGAAUCAUUCCUCAGUGUGAAUUCUAAGACAAAAAUUCAAAUAGAACUUUCUAGUCCCACUCCUAUUGCCAGUGAGGGACUGCACAUGACGGUUAAUUUCUAAGGGUGCAUCUUCAGUAACUUCAGAUCUGCCUCCAUUAGUAAUGGCUUAUUAAUCUUUUCUGUUAAAUUUAUUGGGAAUUUGGGCUAUUCUGUAAUACUUCAAACAAAGCAGUGCUGUCUUAGUAGCAUCUAAGUAGUACCACUGGGAGUUUAGACAGUAACUUUUUCUAUUCCUCUUCUUCUAUCUGUUAAAUGGAGACUGAAAGGCUUACAGAACUUAGUGUUAUUAAUGUUUGUACAGAUCUCAGGUAAAAAUACCAUAAAAAGGCAAGAUCUGGCUUUAAUAAAAGUUCAGGGCUGUGUCUUAUUUUAUUUAUUUCUUUUUGACCUUUGAAGGGGGUGAAAUCUGAACUUUCUACUGUUCCUAAAUGUAAUUCCUGAUGCUUAUGACUUAGAACUUAAAGUCUCCCGUUUUAGCUGUAGUUAUCAUGAAUUAGUGAUGCAAAUACAUUAUAUUUGAUGCCUUUAAAUUGAGUAUUUGACACUUUAAAACCACAUUAACACUACUGGAGCACUAAGGCUACAAUAACUCGAUUUUAAAAGAUUAUUCCUGUGAAAUCCUAUGAUAGUUUGUAAUUCAAGAGCAACACUUUCUACCUUUGCAUUCUUUAUUCUCAUUGUCUCUUUUCUUCAGUCACCAGAAGAAUCAUGUUACAAAAACAAUGUAGUUAGGUAAGAGGUCCUGGAUAUGUAUGUGGGUGUAUGCAAUACCCUGUACACUCUCACAGUUGAACAGUGAUACAGCAGUUCCUAAACUAGGAAGUAUCUUUCUAGAAGACAUAGUCUUGUAAUAAAAUAUGGUGUAUUCUGUGGGCUGAGACUUCAGCAGAUGUAAUUUUUAAUAACUGCAACCAGCUACAUUUUUAGAAUGCUAUGUUGGUUGAAGAUAAGCGGCUAUCUGGCAGUGCAGAAGUUCAGUUCUCAAUCAGGAGUUUGAUAAGGAGAAUGUUUAUGCUUGUCAGAUCUCUUUUAAAAAGUAAUGGAAUGAUUACAGAAGAAACUUGUUUUCUGGGCUGAAAAGAGACUAGCAAAUAAUUUUAACUUCAUAAGACAACUUCAAUAAAGUUAGAUGCAUUACCAUGAUCAUUUUCAAAAGACUGUUUAACAUGACCAUUUAUAUUAUGACUAAAACAGAUUUCAGGAAGGCAAUACCAGAUGUAUAGAUCUCUAAUGGUAAAAUCAUAUUCAACUACAUAAUAUAUAACAGAUAUAUAUUUUUUUAUACAAAGAAAUAAAGUUUGGAAACAAUUCGUGUAAAAUAAUGAGAUAACCAUUUUGUUGAAAGCAAAGUAUGGGUGCUCUAUUUAAAAGAAUGGAUGGUUCUCAUUACGAUGCCUAUUGUAGGAAAACUACAAGGUGAUACUGCCUUCUGAAAGAUUCCUCCACAUAAUGAAUACUGCUCAAACUUCUAGUCAAUCUAUAUGAAAAGUUACUUCUGGAGACUUCACUUGCAUAAAAGUCACUGUAUCUUGCCAUUAGAAUUCGUUGACAAAUGUAUUUAAUUUAUGUUCGGUGUAAUUGAACUACUCCAUCAUUCCUUCCUGUUUGGACAGUUAUGGCCACUUAGGAGUUUUACGUCACUUUUAACCUUGGAUGAUACCGGUUUUUCUUUUUGAUGGUCCAGAACUAAGAAACUAUAAUUUCAUUGUUCACUCAGCAGUUUUUUUUUGGUUUUUUUUUUUGUCCAUUUAUAUUUUUCCCAAUGUUGGAUCAAUAUAAACUCCUUUAAUAAAGAUAAUGGAAAAUCUCCAUGCUCUUAAUUAAUCCUCUCUUUCCUGUUUUAUAAAUAUUUUUAAAUCUUCCUAUCAUUUUUUCCAUGCUGACAUCUUCAUUUUUUUUUUCUCUUACAGUCUGAUAUUUGGACCCUAUCUUUUCAUAACAUUGAUUAUAUAGAUGCAUCAAUAAAACCUCUAUCUAUAUAUCUGCAUAUAAUUCACCUAUAAAGGUUCUAAAAGAGACAUAUUGCCAGUAAACAUUUAGGCUUUUCCAAUUGGCAUCUUAGGAUGUUCUUUGUCUUACAGGUUGAUAGCAUCAUUUUGAGGGAGGCAAAUAUAUAGAGUACUUCAGGCCUGGAAGAACCUCCAGCAUAACACUAGUAAAGCUCAGGGAUUUACUAGUGGUGAUGAGCUGUCAUCAGGUCUUAAAGGUCUUUAUCUUAAAGAUAGAAAAAGUAAUAAGACAGACUGGACCAUAUGCAUGGGAGGAAACGUCAAUGGUAUCAGAUAUAUAUACGAAUAUUUAAAAAUAUGUGGGGUUAUUUCCCAAUUACUAGUUCAAAGGAAAAAAAAAAGGGGCAAGGAAGAUUAAAAUUUUUGUUUGUUUGUUUGUUUUUUAACUAAAGGAAAAUUAAAAAAAUAAAAAUAAAAAGGAAAAGGAAGAGAAAAACCCUGUACAGAGGAAGAAGCUUUUUCAAUCAAAAUAUUUUUUUUAUCUAGUGUUAGGCAGACAGCCUGCAGAAGAUGACUACCCACUAGCAUUCUAACUUCUCUCUUUAGACAUAUAUCCAAGACUGCUCAUUAGCAUUCCCAAGCAUGUACCAAUUUGAAAAUGUCUUCCUUUCAACUCAGCAAUAUGGAAACCCCAAAGUGCACUUUAUUUGCCUAAUACGUUCCUUCAAGAUGUUCAAAAUCAGUUGUGAGUCUUCUGGUUAUAUUCAAGUGAAAUCCACUCAAAGGAAAAAAAUUCUUUUUACUAAAUAAUGAAGGCAGAGAGUGCAAGAAAAUAUGGUGUUCUGGACUGAGCAGUGGCAAGAAACACAUGGUAUUCUCGUAUGAUUAUAUAUGCAGCACUGUCAUCUUAACAGCAAAGUGUUGUGGUUCUUAUCAAAUCUGAUUACAGAAUCACCAACAGAUAAUAUUAUUUUGCUUGCUAAAAGAAAUAUAUUUUAAAAUGCUCAAAUGAUCACUCAGUAAGUUGAUCAGCCAAAUUCACAAUCAACCAAGAAGAGACCGAUGAGUCCAAUAUUAUUCAGAGCACAAAAAUUUUCCUCCACGUUACUUAUUGUAUUGAUAUUGUUUUUAUUUUCAGCUCCACAAGGAGACAAGGAAAACUCCCUCCAUCCUCCACUCAUAAACAUUACCAGUGUACCUAGAUUUGCACCUUGCUUGUUCUGCUGUGCUAUGUUGAGAUGCUAUUUAUUUCAUCUUGCAUUACAUACUUCCCUGGAAUUAGGAGUGAAUGGAUACCUAGUUACCAGCAAGUCAGUGAUUUUCCUUUGAUCGGAGAACACUCCCACUGUUAGUAGGCUGUGAAAGUUAACAAAAUGUAAAGAACUGGAUCAAAAAAAAGGUAAAUACUGGUUAAAAAAAGUAAAUACAAAAAAUACUCUGUAAUAUGAGCAUGUAAGCUGAAAUUGUAAUCAGGUGGGGUGUAAGUUGUGCUUUAUAAGGCACAAUCAAAGCACAUCAGUAGCUAAUUUGCCUUCAUUUAACUGGUUAAUGGCAUUUUUUAUAACACAGAAGAAUUCAUCCCCUUCCAUCUCAGUUUCCUGUAAAACAGAGCAGCAAUAUUUAUAUACCUCCCAGGGCUAUUGCAAGGAUUCACUAAUUAGAUAUAGAUUUGUUUUCAAAUGGGGUGACUCAACCACUGCUCAGUCUCUCCACUCUGCUCCAGCAGGGUCAGAGCUCAGGCAUCCUGCUUCCUUGGGGGCUCUUUUCUGAGCUUUGGUGAAAUGAUAACAAGGGACUUUGAGAGCUUGCUUUCCUGUACUGCAUGCCAUAUUUCAGGAGAAUUACUAGAUUAUUUAGCAAUAGCUUAAUGAUACAGAAUAGGAAGGAACAUUUUUAGAGCUGGCAUCUUAGUUGUCUGUUCAACAUGCACUGUGUGAGUACACACAGUACAAAUCUCCUCAAAGGAUCUACAGAUGAAAGGAGCUUCCUUGUAGCUUUCUCAACUUUCUUUUUUUGGGAGUUCAGGAUGUGGUUUUCAUCCCAACUUGCAUGUCCAUGCUGUCUUCCAGCCUCUCAGAGACUUCUCUCAACUCCUCAUGCGUUCUGCAACAACUCUUCAAGGGUAACGAGUUGCUACGCAGGAGACCCUGUACACCUGUAGAGUGCAAAAACAAGAAAAAGACCUCUGUAUCCUCCAUUGCUUGGAAGAGAGCAGAGGUAAUCUCAGAGGAGAUUUUCUGAGAAGAUAAUUUUAAAUACUUAGACUCAUUCUUUU
ensembl:lncRNA